rnacentral:lncRNA from 1 species
AGUCGGUCAUAGUUACGAAGAAAACAUUUGUGUAUUAAUCAGGUUAGCUUCUUUUUUCAUUGUAUGGAAAGUCAAUAGUGUUAGGAAAUGCAAGUCUGACUAAAACUUCGUGAGCAUCUAGAAAUUUAACGUAAUGCAAAAAGUCAAAGUGUCACUCUCUCGGCAAGCGGGUUCCGUUUGGACUCUGUAGUCCAGAGAGUUUAUGGCGCGUCGAUCUCACGCCGUCUCAAUGAUUCCUUGUGAAAAGGAUGACAUACGUAAAAAACUAGGCGACUAAGAAAGAGAAGGAUCUGAUCUAAUGUCGAAAGGGGGUUUAGCUCGCGAAAUACACAUAGACGGUCUCCUUCAAAUGUGCAGAGAAGAACCCCUUAUCCUCUCAUAUAAGAAACUUGGGAGAGACAGUCAAAGUUUUGAGACACCAUGUG